rnacentral:tRNA from 1 species
AGCCGCGUGGCUCAGUGGAAAGAGCGCGGGCCAGGGAGUCAGAGGUCCCGGGUUCUAAUCCCGGCUCCGCCU